AAUCCUGGGGCGAGUGGCGAACGGGUGAGUAAUAUAUCGGAACGUGCCCAGUAGUGGGGGAUAGCCCGGCGAAAGCCGGAUUAAUACCGCAUGAGACCUGAGGGUGAAAGCGGGGGAUCGCAAGACCUCGCGCUACUGGAGCGGCCGAUAUCAGAUUAGCUAGUUGGUGGGGUAAAGGCCUACCAAGGCAACGAUCUGUAGUUGGUCUGAGAGGACGACCAGCCACACUGGGACUGAGACACGGCCCAGACUCCUACGGGAGGCAGCAGUGGGGAAUUUUGGACAAUGGGCGCAAGCCUGAUCCAGCAAUGCCGCGUGCAGGAAGAAGGCCUUCGGGUUGUAAACUGCUUUUGUCAGGGAAGAAAUCCUCUGGGUUAAUACCUCGGGGGGAUGACGGUACCUGAAGAAUAAGCACCGGCUAACUACGUGCCAGCAGCCGCGGUAAUACGUGGGUGCGAGCGUUAUCGGAAUUACUGGGCGUAAGCGUGCGCAGGCGGCUUUGCAAGACAGAUGUGAAAUCCCCGGGCUAACCUGGGAACUGCA
rnacentral:rRNA from 1 species